AGAGUUUGAUCCUGGCUCAGGAUGAACGCUGGCGGCGUGCUUAACACAUGCAAGUCGAACGGAGCCUAGCGAGUGCUUGCACUUGCGAAAGCUUAGUGGCGGACGGGUGAGUAACGCGUGGGUAACCUGCCCUGUACUGGGGGAUAACAGCCGGAAACGGCUGCUAAUACCGCAUAAGCCCACAUGGCCGCAUGGCCAAGGGGGAAAAACUCCGGUGGUACAGGAUGGACCCGCGUCUGAUUAGCUAGUUGGUGAGGUAACGGCCCACCAAGGCGACGAUCAGUAGCCGGCCUGAGAGGGUGAACGGCCACAUUGGGACUGAGACACGGCCCAAACUCCUACGGGAGGCAGCAGUGGGGAAUAUUGCACAAUGGGGGAAACCCUGAUGCAGCCGACGCCGCGUGAGCGAUGAAGUAUUUCGGUAUGUAAAGCUCUAUCAGCAGGGAAGAAAAUGACGGUACCUGACUAAGAAGCACCGGCUAAAUACGUGCCAGCAGCCGC
rnacentral:rRNA from 1 species